rnacentral:snRNA from 1 species
AGCGGCAGAGGGUAGUGCAAUCAGACAACGCCCUCGCCUUUUACUAGGGCGUUCCGUGUUCUGCCCUCACUUCAAUGCCGCAUUACCAAUUUUUCAGACCUCAGUCCCCUCUGAGAU